UUAUGCAGGAAGGCAUUUUAGCGGAAAAUUAUAAUCCUGGCCAGGACGGUGGCUACUCGAUUUGCCUAUCUCUACAUGAUUGACAUCAUGUAACGUGAUUGGUAAACGGUGACCUUGAGGGACAAAUCCAGGUGAAUAGAGAUUGCUCAAGGAACAAUUAUUUGGACAGGUAUAUUGCCAACAGGAAGCAUUGAACACUAAAAAGAUUUUCAACGCGGUUUCCCCUCUUCCUGUGGAAAGUAAUGCCCUGUGAGAACUAGACUCAUUCCGGAGGGAAAAAGUCAUGGGUACGGAUACUGUGCACAGCCGAUGCUGCUUUCGCUUCCUUUAAAUAACUGAGACCAGACAUCCCUACAAUUAGGAAAAUGUAUGAAGAGAUAAAGCUGGUUCAGUGUUAAUGUUACAGUCUGUGCACAUGCAGUCAGUAAAUGUUGUGAUAUGUGUAAGUAUGUUACUUCCUGUGAAUUACCCCCAUAUUACUGUUAGUCACCCGGUUGUAAAGUUUUGUGCCUGGUUCUGACAUGGGGACACUGAGAACGUGAGCCUCUCUUGUCCCCUGUUUAUAUCCAAACCCAGCUCGACACACUCGGUUACCCCCUGUGCUCUUCAGCCUCCUCUGUCCCUGCUGGUCACAGAUUUACCCUCCUUUCUGCCUUCCCCUCUCUUAAGCUGUACUCAGCCCACACCCUCUGCCUCUACUUCCUUACGGUGUACAUUUUUUAACCCCUUGCAGUCUGACUUCCUUUUCCACCUCUCUACUGAAACGGUUCCUUGUAAAGAGCGCGUCUAACCCAGCCUGCAUACAGAGGCUCUGGGAUAGAACAGUGAGAAGACUGAUUGCAUUUAGCAGGGACUUAGGUGUGGGGUGAGCUUUACGUAAAGGGGGAUAUUCGGGAUACCAUGGGGACGUAUACCGAGGAGAUCUCAUUUAGUCGGGGCACAUAGAAGGCUUCUCAGGUAGAGAGAGAUUUGAGAUGAAGUUUGAGGGUGGAGUUAGGUGAGAGCUAGAGAAGGGAAGGGAGACGAGAGCCUUCCAAGUGAGAACAGCGAGUCGGAAGGACUGAAGCCGAGAGCCCACAGGUUCGCAAGGCUGCAGAGGCCUGUGUGCAGCAUGGUAAUGAGGCGCUCUUCUCUUUUUUUAUCCAGAUGCCCCCCUAGAAGUAUGCUGUGUAUUUCCCUCACACAUUUCGCCGCAAGUGUGGUCUUUCUCAAAAAUCCCCGUCCCUCCUCCUGCGUGAAUGAUUCAUCAAGAAUCUUGGCCUAAGUCUGCUGCUGUUUCAGGGAAAACAGACUCUGGGGAAUGACUUGGGAACACAAUCGGGACUGGUCCAGUGGCUUCGUUAGAAGGCAGCUCGGCGUGUGUGAGCUUCUGCUCGGAGCGAGACUCUGUUAAGGCAGAUGCAUGGACACUGAGAUAUCGGCAGAGGCCCCCGGGCUGCGUGCAGCGGGGCAUGGGCCUGAUGCUCCCCUCUGAAACCUGUUCCAGUGGCCAGGAACACACAAUAGAGGCUCUGAAGGGGACCCCCCAUGGCUACUGCAAUCACAAGGCACCUCCCUGUCUCCCCCGAGCCCCCCCAGGACACAGGGUCGUCCUGUGCUUGGGUUCCCACCUAACAUCCACCUUUCCGACAGGUGAAGACACUGGGGCAGAAGAGAUUUGCUUUGGUUAAACGUGACUCGAGCUGCAAGGAAAAACCCACCAUCCGUAAACUCAGUGCAUCACUUGGCCACCCUGCCCUGAAGCUGGGGAUCAAGAAUCUUACUAAAGUUGGAUGUAGUCACACGUCCUAAAAACUAGCUGCAGAAGGUGAUAACUGAAACAAUACAGAAAGGAAUACAGUAAGGACACCCAGAAUUCCUGAAGCCACCCGAGGACCCCGGACACCCUGAGAACAACCAAGUGGGAAGAGGGGAAGGCCUGGAUCCUCGGUAACAAACGCUUCUAAGUCACUGGCCUGACCAAACCGGGAAUUGUCCUCCUUUUGUCCUUUUAAUGUCAGGAAAAAAAAAAUCUUGAGUUUUAAGCUACUCUUUGUUGAGGUUUUUGUUUGCAGAAGCCCAAGCAACCAAAUGCUGCAGUUCUCACGACCCUGCCCCUUACCAGAGAGCCCAGGAUGCUUGUUUAAAGGAGAUCAUGGAAGAAAAGAGGAUUAAGUGGAAUUUACUGACAGCUCUGGACUAAAGGAGCCUCCAACAUAACAGGACAGAGACGCAUCUAUAAGGGGGACAGAAAGCAGCGACAGCGGAAGUGGAGGGAGGCGACGUCUGGAAGACACAGCUGGCGUGCCUGCAGCCCCCGGGGGUUCAAGACGACGCUGGAGUUUCUGGUGUGCGUGGCUUGCAGGGCUACGGAUGCAGUUCCGGGAUCCCCUCCUUCCCGGGGCACGCAAGCCCACGUCUCUUCCUCGUCACCUCUUAAUGGCCAUUUUCUGUCUCUCUGCGUGGGCGCAUUCAGCAGUUAUGGACUGCCGCUCCCUGCUUUUCUCUCACCUCAAGGUUUGCUCAUCCAGCCGUGUUAACAGGCGCCGUGCUGCGCUUUUUCCAGGUGACGUCUUUGUUCAGCAGUGUAGCCGAGGUGGAGAUUAAGUCUUAGCAAUACGCCCACCUUUAGGUGGGGGGUCUGUCGCUGUAAAAGCAACCGGAAAGCAUCUUGGGGGAGGGGUGGGCUUCCAGACCUUUCCAUAUUGCCUCAUAGCAUUUUGGGAAUUAUCUUAGGUAUC